CCACUGCCCUGCGCUGGCCUUGCUUAGCGUGGCUCCUGCUUUCUUUUCACAGUGUGCAAGAGGAGAGGAAGAUUUAUGGGAGCUGCUCUGGAGAUUUUCUCCGUAAUGACUAACGAAGGAGAACAGCACGAGCCGGACUUAAACAACAGGAUCCUAAACAGCCAGUGAAUUAUUCAGCUCCAAUUAAUAUUAAUGGCUGGCAGGGGUGACGGAUGGCAGGCGGGCAGGCGGGCAAGGAGUCUUGUGAGAGGGACCCCCCUCGCUCUCCUCUGGUUAGGCAGAAUGAAGCCGCAGGAAAGGCCUGACUAGGUACCUUGGGAACACUGGGGCAGAAGCAGGAAAGGGAAGAAUGAUUCCUACAACAGGUAAGCUAGAUAAAAGGGCUUAUGGGGUGGGGGGUCUCUCUUAAGUCCACUCUCCAGGAUCUUGUAAGCUCCUAUUGGUGGCAGCGGCGGAGCAAGCCAAUCGGGCGCCUGGGGCGGCGUGCAUGCCCUGUGCCCAGGGGCAGGGCAGCCGCCCGUUGGGCAGGGCCAGCCGGGCAGGAUACUCUGCGGGGCCUCUGAGGAGUCUGCUUGCCUCCUCCCACUCAGCUGCCCUACCCCUGUGGGGAAAGUGGUGGGCAGACCAUUUGGGGCAGCACGGAGCCUGCGGGCACCCAAGCCACCGCGUCACUCACAGGAGAGAUGCGUGGCUCAGGUGCACUGCAGGCCCUGCAGUGAGUGCCGCCCGACAUUUUGUCAGUGGUGACACUUCCCUAAACAGGGCUGCCUUCAGAUGUCUUCUAAAAGUCUGGUAGUUGUUUAUCUCUUUGACAUCUGCUGGGAGGGCGUUCCACAGGGCAGGCACCACCACUGGGAAGGCCCUCUGCCUGGUUCCCUGUAGCUUUGCUUCUCGCAGGGAGGGAACCGUCAGAAGGCCCUCGGAGCUGGACCUCAGUGUCCAGGCAGAACGAUGGGGGUGGAGACACUCCUUCAGGUCUACUGGACCAAGGCCGUUUAGGGCUUUCAAGGUCAGCACCAACACUGUGCUUCCAAGCUGCUGGACAAAGCAGGAGUGUGGACGAGCCCUUAUUCGCCUUUCUCUCCACCAGUGAUGGAGAUGAUGGAGGCAUUUUUAAUUGGGUGAGAAUAAUGCAUUUCCCAAAUAUCCCACCCCCCCACCGCUUCAUUCAUCUUUCAGGAAAACAACCCACCUUCUUCAAAAGUUGAGUUUUACACUUGGGAUUCAGCUGCAGAGCAACAAGCCCUUGGUGCUUCACUCAGGGUUAAUUCCAGCCUGAAGCUGAUGAGAGAUGGACUGUCUUGUCAGCCUCAUAUACACUCUGUGAUCUCUCCCCCCCGCCCCCCCCGCCCCCCACCACCCAGAGGCAUCUUCUGGCCCAAGAUGGCAGUGCCACUUCUUCCAGGCUGGAGGGAAUCUCUCCUCUCCCCCCAGCCAUCCACUUUCCAUCUGCAGCCGCAAUUAGCUCUGCUUGGUUGCUCCAUUUCUGCAGAAGCCACAGAAAGUGCUCCUUGCGCAUUGAGCGGAGUGACCUCAGAGCACCUGCCCUCCAACCGAGGCAGCAGAGGCCGUUUUAGAGUAGCAUGGCCGCUCUGAGUGCACGGGGCGCUGUGUUGCAGAGAGUGCCGCCACAACGCUGUAGGACCGGGUGUGAGAGGUGCAGGAGUGCCCAGUUUUAGCAUUGCACAGGGUGCCGCUGAAAUUUGAGACCCCAGAGUCUGCCUUGGGCUAGUGGCAGAGCAAAUGCACGGUUCCCUGCAUGGUCAGGGAAAAAACAAUGCUGUCCAGGGUUGUAAAGACUGCGGAGAGAAUAAUUGGGUGCGCUCUUUCCACCUUGGAUCAAAUCUACGCUUCCAGGUGACAUAAGAAAGCUGCAGAGAUAGCGCAGGAUAGUGCGCACCCCGGAAAUGAUUGCCUUCUGGAAGAAGGUACAGGGUUAUAAAAACUAGGACUAGCCGCCUGAGAAACAGUUUCUACCCAAAUGCGAUUUUGGUUUUAAACGCAGUGUAAGUUAGUCUCUAUGGGAGUAUAUUGUAUUUAAUUAUGGGGUAUCAGAGUUUUUAGGGGGCUAACCAGGCUGGGAUAACUGGGAUUGCAGGCUUGCUGGUUUUUGAAUGUCUGAUGUAGACUUUUCCAAUUUCAUUGUUCUGCAUGGGACAAUGACAAUAAAGAUUAUCGUAUCAUAUUAUCAUAUCGUAUGCCUGCACUGCCCAGGGCAGGUGUGCUCCCAAGGGGGACGUGGCGUGGAGGGUGCCCUCCCAUGGUGUACAUUUGGCACGCCAGCCGCCCGUGACUCCCAAUCCUCCCCCAGGCUGUCAAAACGAAGGGGGAAGGGGGGAAUGUCUCCGGCAAAGUGGCGCAGCUCCCCCCUUACACCGAUGGCUCGGGGCAAGCUUGGGAGUCGCAGGCAGGUGGUGCGCCAAAUGUCACCCCCCUCAGUGAGGGCACCCAGGGCGAUCCACCCCCACCGCCUCCCCUUCUUCCUCCCCUGCCAUGGGCUUCACACAGCUGCUUUGCAUGCAGGGGAGGAGCUCAUCCAUACUUCUGUUUGCCCCACCCCCAGGAAAGUCUGCUUUUUACUACUAAAUCAGAGUAAAAGGCAACCGGGUUUUCUGUGCAAUGGCCAUUGCUCCGAAAAGACGCAGUUGCGUCUUACGUUCACUUCAGGAUGCGAAUGGGGCUCCGGAACGGAUCCCGUUCGCAUCCAGAGGUACCACUGUACAUUAGGACAAAAGUAAACAUGUCCGAUCUUCUUCGUGUCCAAAGCAAAGAGGCAAAAGCAAAAGCUUUACACAAAACGGAAGUUCCCAGCAUACUGUGCUGGAGUGUAAACGGACAUGUGACACACAACAAUCAUGCCUGUUCCUUAAGGUGGAACGGAAUAUCUCAACUGUUGUUGUUGUUUACAAUCAAGCAGUCUAUAAAUUUUAUGAAACAAAUAAAUAAAUGGGUCCUGGAGCUGAGCUGAGCUCGAAUAAACCUCCCCAGGUGCCCAGAGGAGGAGCCUGGCCUGGGGCUUGACCCCAUGCCCAAACCACAGAAGUCUUCCACAUGUUCGCAAGCUCCUUGCACCCAUACUUCCAUCUUUUUCCAUCAUUUUCCAUGUUUCAUAUAUAUAUCUGGGGUGCCUCAGAUGGUGCAUUCGGUUGAAACAUUUAUUUCAGCUGGCUGGAGAAGCUGCCAGGGCAUCUCCACCUCAUUAUCUGGGCUGACGCAUCCUUCCAAAGGUCUUGCUUUGGAUGUGGCCACAGAAGUCCUUCUUAGCAGAAGCUUCACUGCCGAGCCUCUGGCAGCAUAAACAAUCCAGCCUGACGCCUCAACGAUACCUUUCAUUAGGCUGCCUCUGCCCAUAAAGCUGCCUCGUAAUUGGCAACGUGAGGCACGGGUUUCGAACGCAGGUCAGCAGCAUCCACCAGCCAGCUGAAAAUCAAAGGACCAGCUCCGUUUAGAAGAACAGAAGUUUUGUUACCUGUCAGUUGUCAAAUUCAGCCAACUCCAUGGAACCAGACACAACUCACAGACCAGUCCUUCCCGAAACACGACAACACACCUACGCAAGACAGAUUAAUCCCCUUAAAUUUGGAUGCACUAUGUACCAAAAGAAGCAAGCCAGCAAGUUUCUAGGUUCGAUGGGACUGAGAAGAGAAACUUUAAAAGCUUGAAAGCAACGCCUCCUGGUGGGAGAGGGGGUCCCCCAAGCCAAAGUGAGUCUGGGAGGAAAUUCCACUAGCUGGGAGGAGAGGGAGAAUUGCAAUUCUCAAGGCCCAAGACUAGCAGAAGUGCUGCUCCAGGGGCCACCAGCAAGCAAAGGGGCAGCUAGGAGAUUUUAGAGCCUGGAGUCCUGUGUCCAAUUCUGGGCACAGUUAAAGAAGGAUAUUGACAAGCUGGAAUGUGUGUAGAGGAAGGUGACCAAGAUGUUCAAGAAUCCGGAAACCAAGCCUUAUGAGGAAGGAUUGAGAAGUACUAAGGGGGAUACUAGGGGAGAAAAGAAGGCACCUUUUAUCAUAGGUGGUGGAAAUGUAAGGUAGUAAAAGAAUUUGGGGAAAUGAUAUAUAAUGAGUUGAAAAAAUGUUUAAAAUAACCUUUUCUUAAAAACCUGAAAUUUUCCUUUUAGGAAUUCUAGGUGCUGAAAUCCCAAAAGAGCAGAAAAGACUAUUUAUGUAUGCAACCACAACUGCGUGGAUGUUAUUGGCCCAGAGACGGGAAAAAGAUCAAGUCCCGACCAGAGAAGGAUGGCAGAUCAAGUUGAUGGACUGUGUCGAAAUGGCUAAAAUGACCGGAAGAAUCAGGAAUCAGGAAGACCAAAAUUUUAAUUAGGAAUGGGGAAAUUUUAAAACUUAUGUUAAAGACCAUUGUAAACCGUUAAAAUCGUUAGUAGGGUUGGAAUAACACUUGUCGUUUAAUGGUGAAUUUUGGACAUAAUGGAGGUGUAAAAGAUUUGGAUUAUCAUAAAAGAUGCAGGAG